UUGGAAAUACCACCACUGAACCAAGAAAUUAUUACUGUAGCUGGCCAGACCCUUUAAAACAGGACCUUGUCGCAGCAAAGUAGAAAAAAACAGACCCAAGACUUAAAACCCUCACCAAACUGCACCAAAUCAACCAGUAGCUUAUAGGAAUGCUGCACAAACUCCGAGGCGAUGUCAGGAAGACAAGCCAAAGGACAGGAGGUGCAUUACCCAAUCUCAGUCGCCAGGGAGUGAAAUAGUGAAGAAAAACAAAAGUGGCGUGUGAGGGCCACUCGCCGGAGGUCCGAUGACCAGAUCUUGAUGGCAGGCUGAUCGACGGCCUAGAGGUCCUUUGGGACAGGCAGUGAGACAAACAACUAACCCUAGG
rnacentral:misc_RNA from 1 species